rnacentral:rRNA from 1 species
GAUGAACGCUGGCGGCGUGCCUAAUACAUGCAAGUCGAGCGAACAGACGAGGAGCUUGCUCCUCUGACGUUAGCGGCGGACGGGUGAGUAACACGUGGAUAACCUACCUAUAAGACUGGGAGAACUUCGGGAAACCGGAGCUAAUACCGGAUAAUAUAUUGAACCGCAUGGUUCAAUAGUGAAAGACGGUUUUGCUGUCACUUAUAGAUGGAUCCGCGCCGCAUUAGCUAGUUGGUAAGGUAACGGCUUACCAAGGCAACGAUGCGUAGCCGACCUGAGAGGGUGAUCGGCCACCCUGGAACUGAGACACGGUCCAGACUCCUACGGGAGGCAGCAGUAGGGAAUCUUCCGCAAAGGGCGAAAGCCUGACGGAGCAACGCCGCGUGAGUGAUGAAGGUCUUCGGAUCGUAAAACUCUGUUAUUAGGGAAGAACAAAUGUGUAAGUAACUAUGCACGUCUUGACGGUACCUAAUCAGAAAGCCACGGCUAACUACGUG